CGGCGCGUCGGUAUCGCGCCUCGUCCCUCUGCGCCUCCGCCGGUGGCUGCGUCGGCGUCACAGCUGUGCCCACAUCCCGCCCCGCGCGGACCGCUUGUAGCCGCUUCUCGGGCCGGAGGAUGCCCAGGAAGCUGCUGCUACUGCCCCAGCUGUCCGCGUGCUCCGCUCUGCGCGUCCCGCGGGCCCGGCCCGCCGCCUCGCCGGCCAUGAACGCCGCCCGCACUGGCUACCGAGUCUUUUCGGCCAACUCCACGGCCGCCUGCACGGAGCUGGCCAAGCGCAUCACUGAGUAAGCGGUGUGGUCCCCGGCGAGGCCCUGGCCCCUCUCCCCGCCACUUCCACCUUUGCAUCUGGGAGCAGAAGCUUCGGGACGAUUCCCCAACCCCGUCCCAGGGCCGCGGCGCACUCUUGACCAUUAAGAGGUUUCCUGCGCUUGCCCUGUGUCUGACCAUCGCCAUUUCCGGCCGACCCUAUCGAGACGGACGAUGAGAGUCUAUCCUCAGACUUAAGGGUUGGGACGGUCAGGGAGAAGGGAACUCAGAAGUACUUCGGGCUGGGCGCGGGAGAGCCGCGAUUACACUGUGUAGGAUCAGUUGUACAAAAAAAGUCUUGGCUU
rnacentral:lncRNA from 1 species